rnacentral:ncRNA from 1 species
UUUCUUCAGGGCAGGGUGCAAUUCCCGACCGGCGGUAAAGUCCGCGAGCCUUCGGGCCGACUCGGUGGAACUCCGAGACCGACAGUACAGUCUGGAUGGAAGAAGA